rnacentral:rRNA from 1 species
AGGCCAGCAUCAGUUCGGGCGGUUGGAUAAAGGCUCUGGGAAUGUAGCUCUCUCCGGGGAGUGUUAUAGCCCAUUGCACAAUACCCUGGGGCGGACUGAGGUUCGCGCAUCUGCAAGGAUGCUGGCGUAAUGGUCAUCAGUGA